rnacentral:sRNA from 1 species
UGAUGGAGUCUGAUCAGAGCAAGAGCUUCAGUGUUGGUUACUGUGGAGGAGAGACGAACAAGAAGAAGAGCAAAAAGCUUGAAGGCCAACCUUCUAAGAAUCUCAUGGCGGAGAGACGACGGAGAAAACGACUUA